AUAGCUUAGGAUAGCUUAGCUCAGCAUAUAACUCGAGAUAGUUUGGCUUAGCACAUAGCUCAGGAUAGUUCAGUUUAUAUCAGGAUAGCUCAUAUCAGCAUGGAUAGCUCUUCUCAACAUAUAGCUUAGGAUAGCUCAGUUCAUAUCAGGAUAGCUCAUAUCAGCAUGGAUAACCCUUCUCAGCAUAUAGCUCAGGAUAGCUC
rnacentral:lncRNA from 1 species